rnacentral:rRNA from 1 species
AGUAAACGCUGGCGGCGUGCUUAACACAUGCAAGUCGAACGAGAACGGAUUAUAGCUUGCUAUAAUCGUCAGCUAAGUGGCGCACGGGUGAGUAAUGUAUAGGUAAUAUGCCUCUUACUAAGGGAUAACAAAUGGAAACGCUUGCUAAUACCUUAUACUCCUUAUUAACAGAAGUUAAUAAGGGAAAGAUUUAUUGGUAAGAGAUUAGCCUGUAUUGUAUCAGUUAGUUGGUGGGGUAAUGGCUUACCAAGACUAUGACACAUAACUGGUUUGAGAGGAUGAUCAGUCACACUGGAACUGAGACACGGUCCAGACUCCUACGGGAGGCAGCAGUGGGGAAUAUUGCACAAUGGACGAAAGUCUGAUGCAGCAACGCCGCGUGGAGGAUGACACAUUUCGGUGCGUAAACUCCUUUUAUAUGAGAAGAUAAUGACGGUAUUAUAUGAAUAAGCACCGGCUAACUCCGUGCCAGCCGCCGCUGUAACAC